AGAGGCUACUGCCAUCAGAGUUCGAUUUAGCCAUGUUAGUCGAGGGUGCUUCUUCUUCGGAAGAAGUAACCCGGCGGACGGCUCAGUAACACGUGGAUAACCUACCCUUGGGACUGGAAUAACCCCGGGAAACUGGGGAUAAUACCGGAUAGAUCAUGGAUGCUGGAAUGCACCUUGAUCCAAAGCUCCGGCGCCCAAGGAUGGGUCUGCGGCCUAUCAGGUUGUAGUGGGUGUAACGUACCUACUAGCCGACGACGGGUACGGGUUGUGAGAGCAAGAGCCCGGAGAUGGAUUCUGAGACACGAAUCCAGGCCCUACGGGGUGCAGCAGGCGCGAAAACUUUACAAUGUGCGAAAGCAUGAUAAGGGAACUCCGAGUGCCAGUAUCUAAUACUGGCUGUCCUUGUGCCUAAAACGCACAAGAUAGCAAGGGCCGGGUAAGACCGGUGCCAGCCGCCGCGGUAACACCGGCGGCCCGAGUGGUAGCCGCUAUUAUUGGGUCUAAAGGGUCCGUAGCCGGUUCGAUAAGUCCUCUGGGAAAUCUGGUUGCUUAACAAUCAGACUGCCAAGGGAUACUGUCGAACUUGAGACCGGGAGAGGUAAGAGGUACUUCAGGGGUAGGAGUGAAAUCUUGUAAUCCCUGGGGGACCAUCUGUGGCGAAGGCGUCUUACCAGAACGGGUCUGUCGGUGAGGGACGAAAGCUGGGGGCGCAAACCGGAUUAGAUACCCGGGUAGUCCCAGCCGUAAACGAUGCUCGCUAUGUGUCAGGUACGGUGUGACCGUAUCUGGUGCCGUAGGGAAGCCGUGAAGCGAGCCACCUGGGAAGUACGGUCGCAAGACUGAAACUUAAAGGAAUUGGCGGGGGAGCACUACAACGGGUGGAGCCUGCGGUUU
rnacentral:rRNA from 1 species